GUUUAAUCAGACAAACACGUCUCUAAGCGAUCAUCGACAUCGGGCCUCGAAAUCUUCGAAAUCAAUAGGUAAAACGAAAGAAAAUAAAACUAAUGAAAAAAAGAAGAAUAAAUUACUGAAAAAAAUAAAAACUACGUAAAGAUACUCGGAUUAAAUUUUGGACAAAGACGACAAAUUAAAAUAUGGUAGAAAUUGAGAUGAAACUGAUCCGGACUCUAAAUUAUGCAAAAUUUCGACAUCUCACAUGGUGAUACCCCAACAAAGGCAUCGCUCGCGUGUGUUUUAGAAAAUCUACUAAAGAUUUGAUUUUACAUGAGGCGCGGAGGCGGAAUUACCAACAUUCUUAACGAAUGAACGGAGCGUGUCGGCUGCUGUCAUAACCACUUUUUACCCUGAUUUGAGGGGACAUUGUUUGAUUUUGUUUUGCGUUCGCAUAUGGUUGGGCGGUGGAUGAUCUGAGGGAUAGUUGUUUUGUUGUACUGUACUGAAGUAGGUUCGCCGUAAUACUGUAUGUCAGUGUAUGAGUUUUAAGGUACACCAUAGACUAGAUGCUGACUAAAUUUGACACGAUGCCCGGUCACCUGGCGGUACUGCUGCAGCGCAAAGCAGUUCCAAUGUUUCGGCAUGUUCAGCGGUAAUAAAGUCUGUAUUUAAUUUACAAUAUAAAAAAUACUGUUAAAGUAACACUUUUACACAGCGCACACUCUACGAGGUGCACCAGAAGUUUGUGCACUAAUAUAAAGAUAACUAAUUUUGUUCGCCUAUUUUACAUCAAGUUGUGUAAAGGGACUGAA